GAGGGACAUUGGUCAUGGACAUUUUAUUAACGGGGGCCCUCUUCUGAAUGAAAAAUGAAGAUUAUUGCGAUUGAAUCCAUAUCAUAUCAAAUGCAUGGACCUGUCUAUGGUGCAGACUCUGUAACUAACAUCUCCCACCAUCCCACCAUCCGAUUUUCUAUUGUUUAAUUUCUCACUCCACAUUCGACCACAUCCAACGGCUGAUGCUGCAGUCUGUAACUUACAGAUUCUGUAAGCUAGCAAAGUCCCAAAUGCAUACCUGCAAAGUUGCAGGGAGUUAUGGAGGGGAGAAAUGUAGAAAGGCUUCAUAACCGCCAACUUGGAGAAACAAGUUCCAUCCUGUCUGCAAAUGGUGACAAUUAAAUUAUUCAACCAUGCAACACUUGAAAAAGAAAAGUGAUCAAUCUUAAAAAGUAAUGUAAUGCUGAUAGUACAAAUAUCAGUACAAUUUUGCCCAAAACUUUAGGACUAUGAAAUUUGAAAAUCAUUCAGGUGGGUGAAAGCUAAUCACCUUCUCUUUUUCUUUUUUCAGAUUAGGGUAAAAGCUAAUCACUCGGUAAUGCUGAAAUAUGUCAGCGAAAAUUUCAUUUUGGUCCGUAUGUCAUGCCUUAUUGCCAUUCAAUUUUUUGUUCCUGCAGAUUCAUAAUUCAGUACCAAAUGGCUCAAGUUGGUAAAACUGAAACUUGUAUGGAGUUAAAUUAUUCAUAAAAAUGGCAACGACUAUUACCAAGUCAAAAUGCCAAGCUGCUCCUCUAUCAAUUUGAUCCUCAACUUCAUUUGGAAAAAAAACCUGUAAACAUGGUGAAAGCCUGCAUCAUAAAAGCUCAAGUGAAAAAAUACUUGCGUAUAAAUUUACAAAAGGUUGUGUAGCAUAUCCAUCAGAAAUUUUUUCCCAAGUUUUUAAAAGAAUAAAGUUGUACUUGCUGUUAGCCUUGACCUUUAGAAACAGUAGACUAUCUAUAGCUGCCUGACUUCAACACUCUACAAAGGCAGAGAGCAGUACCUCCAUGUAAUUACUAUACUAACUGAAGUGACUUGUGCCCAUACUAUCUUACCAUUAAUUCCACAUCCAGAAUACAGUGCAGCAUCCUUAAAGUAAUAUACAUCUACAGAGAUCAUGGAGCCACUCCACAAUGUGCAGGAUGUAUAAUAUUUGACAGAUAAUUCUUGAAACAAAUUAUGAAAAAGAAAGUAAUACAUGAUUACUUGCUGUACAUUCCUUUAUUCAACUUUCAUCUGCUUCCCCUUUGAAUCAAAGCAAGUAGCUUUUGUACAAUCAACUCCUGGACCACUACAUUUAGGUUCUCCACAUGAACAGAAUGGAAGCAUAAUGAAGUAUGCAUGAAAUAUCAUUAUACUUUAAAACAUUAUCCAACCACAUACUAAAAGCUGGUAAAAUCAAAAGCGCAAGAGCAUAAUGAAUUAAAUUCACUACUCUUCAUUAAUCCAAAAACAUAUCUAGAAACACGCAUUAGAAAUUUACAGAGUGCACCACCUUAAUAGAGAACUAUCCCAAUGCAACAACCUUUGCAGCCUCUACUACCCUUUCUUGAUAGAAUCCAGAAUAGCCGGUUGGCAGCAGGACGAUAAUACAGUCUACUACUUCCUUCUAUGUAGCUCCUCUCAAUAUAUACAUGUGUCUGCUUGAAACAAACUAUGAGAAUGCACACUCAUUCUAGCCCUGCUGGCAUCGCCAGAUAACAUUUUCAUUUAACCAUCUAAGUUUUUUCACCCAUUGGGUGAUCACUUAUCUAUUUGCAACCAUCCACACUUUCCAUUGCUAUAAAAUCAAUCAGUUGGUGAAAGAGUAAAAUCCAUAGCAAUUCCAUCACUCUCUGGCAUAUCUCUAACCUCAUUAAGAAGUCUUGUAAGCUCUUUUGUUAAUUCUUUACGAAUAUAAUCAGACCUCUCUUUUGUAAUUGAUGAUUCUGCAAAUAGUCUUUCAGUAAGGGAAUGAAAUUCUUGAAUCCAGUCUUCGUUCUGCUGAGCAUCAUGAUCAUAAAAAAAGGCUAAAGAGCUUUCACGCAGCCAUCUACUAGGAAAGUAUUUCUCAGGAAGUUGGAAGUAGUUCUUCGUAAUGAAAACACGAAAAGCAUGUCUGCAGGGUAUCCCUGAAGACUCAAAUUCCUUACAAGAACAAUGAAGCUGUUCAUCAUCUGGUAUCCAUAUAACACGACGUUCUCCAUCCAUCUUCUUGAAAUGGUGCACAAGAUAUGUUCCAUUACCCAAUUCAGAUGCACUAUACUGCAUGGCUAGAACCAGUUCACGUUGAAAAGCAUUGAAGGCAAAAGGUGUAAGAGUCCUACGAGCUUGCUCUUCAAUGGGGAUGCAUGUUUUCAUAUGCAUGUACUGCAUCUCUUGACGUGGCUGGUUUUGUAGAUUGGAAAAGAGACCAACCUGCAAGAAUUCCAAGAAAAACUAUAAACAAUCUACACAUGAAAAUCAAUUCAAGCAUUGCCCAAAAAAAUAAAGAAAAUGAUAUACCUGCUCAAAAAAGCUACGUAAACAUGUUUGUGCAGCAAAAAUUCUUUUCAAGAAUGCAUCUACAGACUUUAAAUAAGCUGGUGUUGCCAUCCGAGCAAGAAAAUAGCCUCUUAUGUAGGAAAGUGCCCAAGAUGUCCGGACAGAAUAAAGUAAAGCAAUGUGCCUAUCUGAACCAAGUCCAAACAUGGAAACCAUUUGACUCCAUUGGAGUUCAAAAUCUUCCGUACUCUCCACAUGGCAUAAUGCACCAAACUCAGAUUUGAAUUCUGAAAACUGAGAUCCCAGCAAGAGCGAGAACCAGCCAGAUAACUUGGGGAGAAUAUUACAUACAGAUAUUACAUGUCUAGUGUUCGGUAAUGCACUUCUUAUAGCAUCUCCAAGCCCUGGAUCAAGAUCAGUUAGAAUUGUCUUCGGACAUCUUCCUUUCAUAAAAUGAACAAAGGUCUGCAACAAAAAGCGAAGAUAUAAAAUUGCUAAAUGAAAGAUAUUUGAAGAAACGUUUAGUUUAAAAGACUUUGGCAGUAAACCUGCAAGGCCCAAGCAAAGGAACGGAGUGUUUCAUCCUGCAACAGAGCUACCCCAAACAAUAUUGUUCUUCCGUUGCUGUCAAUCCCAAGCCAAGCUCCAAAAAUCAGACCAUAAGUUAUAGACCUAUAAGUUGUGUCAAAAUAAACCACAUCACCUAACAUGGCGUAUGCAUGAAUAGAGCCAGGAAAAGACCAGGCAAUGUUCUCAACUUUAUUGUUCUCAUCGACUGUAAAAUCAUAAACAAAGUAUUCCUCUGUCUCGUUUGUAGCCUUGCAGAUGUCUAGUAGUUCCAUUGUGUCAGUCUCUCUUUUCUCAGUAAGUAAAGCAUCAUUUUCUUGAACAGCUCUUCUACGGUUUUGAACAAAGUUCCUAACAUCCCUUUCCAGGAAAGGCAACUGUCCACCUUGAAUCCCUUUCUCCAACUCCAACACCUUUACUAUACGAUGUAUUGGAAACCCAGCUUUGGAAAGUAAUAGAAUUCUCUCUUGAUCGGCCUCCUGAAUCUUCCUAUAAGCAGGCAAGAAUCUCACUUGGUCGCUUUCCAAAAGUUCAUGAUUAUGAACAUUACUAAAUUGCACAACAAACCAUUGAGAAACUCCUUCAACUACUUCCUUCGACAAGUACAUCUUUGCAUCACAUCCACACCGCACGGACUUCCUAUCCCUAUGGUGUUCACCACCAGGCUUCUUCCUCAUAGGAGCAAACCCCGAACGAUAACAAACAAAAUCACGUUUAUAUACACCCAAUUGGGGGCUCAAUCUUGACCUUUCUUUCCUAACAGAGAAUCCACUUUUUCUAGCAAAAUUACCAUAAUACUCAAAUGCAUCAUCAUCACUCUUAAACACCAUUCCUACGUAGGGCGCAACCAUAGAUUCAUUCAAUGAAUUUUCAUCAUUUUUAGCCAAUUGAGAUGCCACUGAUGUCUCUUCGGAAUCUCCUUCAUGAGAAACAUAACAUUUCCAAUCUCCACAUGGACAUUGUUGCCUCCUCAUCCAUAUAUUUUUUGAAGUUAGCAAUGCCAUUCAAUUACACUAUAUGUACACCUCUUUACAACCAAAGAAACUCAAAUAUCGAAGUCCCCCACUAGCAUGCACUAUAAACCCUUGAAAACCAAAAAUAAAAUAAAAUUAAAUUAAGAAGAAUACAUUGAAAAGGGUUUAUUUGUUCUAUCAAAUAAUUAACUUUAUGCAUAUCCAUUAGAGCUAAGAGUUAUAAAUGCAACUAGGGAUCAAAUUUAAUUGAGUUUUGUGUUGAAAAUUACAGUAAAAUAAAAACAAAGAGAGAAAAAAUAAAAAUAAAAAGAACAAAGAAAGGGCUUAAGCUUUAAUAAGAUGAAGGUUUGCAAGAUCCAGAUUACAUGAAAUAACCAGCAGAUAAAGGAAAAAACUACUUACCAGUGAAAGAGAUGGAAGGGCUUAAACCCUUGCUCUUGCAGUCUUGCUAUGCUUCUACUUCAGCUCGUAAGUUUCUUUGUUUAUGGGGAUAAUUAUUUCCGGCUCCCUGACUUUUAAAUAAAUUCCAUAUAAAAUCAUAUAACUUGGAAUUUUUCACAGGUUAAUAAGCAAUCAAUCAAAUCAAUUACAUAACAUACGCAGUUAACUGUUGUUAUACUUUAAAUAUUUUAAACAAAUAAAUAAAAUUCUUGAGUAAGCCGGCUUUAAGUAAUAGAAAUAUAACUCAUUGGUAAUCCCAUUAAUUGUUGAGACUCAACUUCCUUUUGAUAGAGAUUUAUUUGACUCCAUAUUUUAAGGAUAGAAUAGAUUUCCCUCUCAUAUUAAAGUGAGGGUUAUUAUUCGGGCUGUGUCAUCUUAGAAUUAUAAAGAAGAGUCUCGAUUGAUGUCUGGUUAUAAAAUAUCAGUAGAGUUCUGAUUGUAACAUAUCAGUAUAUCAAAAAGAAUAAUAGUCAACUUUUUUUUUAAUAAUUCUAAUGCAUGGAAUUCAAUGCUUCUGCUAAGUUGGAUUACAAGCUAGCGAUUCAAUAGUUACAAUACAAAGAUUAAAGAGCUUGAUAUACAAAUGGUAAUUUUCACCAUUUAUUCAUUCUAAUAAUCUUCGAGUUACACAAGAGUGAGUAUCAAUUGAUAUAUCGGGGUUUACUGAAUAAUCAAUGCCUAACAGCUAGAGAGAAUUCUUUGAGGUUAGUUUCAUAUAAAUUUAUGUGUUGUUAUCUUUAUAUUGUGUACUAUACUUCGUAUGAUGUUGUAUCUUAAUGGUGGCUUUUGAGGGUUGAAGGAAUUAAAUGCUUUUCACAUUGAGUAAUACUUUUCACACCCCUUUAAUAUCUUUAUAAAACUUUAUUUUUUUAAUCAUAAUUUUAUUGUCUGGAGAACAAAUCAUGAAUCCUAAGGUCCUAGCUGUCUUUGAAUGAUUAAAUCCUAAUAUAUGAUAUAAAUAAUUUUUUAUGGAUUCAUAAUAAGCUUGAAUUGGUGAAGAAGCAAAUUACUUCUGCAAUAGUAUGUUUACUAUUGUGAUAUGAUUGUGAAGUAUUUUAAGUGCUCUUAUCUUAUUUUUCAUUCUCUGAGCUAAAUGUAAUUACAAAUGAUAAUUACUACUUAUACCUAAUGAAGCAUAUCAAAUGGUCGUGCAUUUAGCAAUACACUUUUCGAAUUUUAAGGUGUUGUGUGCAUGACACCUUGUAAAUUGAAUAGUGUAAUGCACAACUCAUAAUAUGUUUUGAAGAGGUGUGAGACGCACACACUACAAAUUAUAUAUCUACGUUUAUAAUUCACUUUCUAAAAUUAUUAGCGUGAAACACAUAAUAUUUUUAUCAAGUGAUGAAUAAAUAUAUCUCACAACAUUUAUAAAUUAAUUUAUUUAUUAUAGAUGGUAGUAAAAUUCAAUUAACACUCUAUUAGAAUGCUUGAACAUAAUUAGUUUUCAUCAAAGAAAUAGCUAAAAAUAUAAAAUGGUGUGGUUCCGCACUCAAACCCAUUUCGUUUACGGGUUGGGCCAGCUUGUCCAUUCAACUGCCUGAGGUCCAAAAUUGUUGGGUUUUCUCUGGGGUGGCCCAUUCUUGAAUUUCAAAGGAAAAGAAAAGUUGUGAGUGAGAAAAAAACCUGAAUAUCCUGAUUUCGUGGUCGUAUGUAUCGGGUUUAUAUUGACUUGAUAUUAACCCGCCUAAUAAAUAAUUGAAACAUCAUGUUACAAAAUGUUGAAUUCUUUCAUAUUCAUACUCAUGCCACUUCUUGGUAUAUAUCGAUUUGACAUUCACACAACCUCCUAAAUUAUAGCAAAACUUCCCUUCCAAAUUGAUUACAGUGCCGCAGAAUCUUUAAUUUACAUGGCUAAGUAAAUGAAAAAGAUCAGCAAGGAAGAUGUUUCGCUCUCGAAGGCUCAAUGCAGAUCAAUCAGGAACUUUGAUAGCUGCGCAUGAUAUAAAGGUCAUCACAACCGUGUAUUUCCGAAAAGCUAUCACAGUCAUCUUAAUCACAAAUCAAACUGAAAACAUCUCUAUAGCGUUUAUCUUGAUUAAUGAGGUGUCAUUAUGAAUAAUAAGGGACUUUUAAUUUCGUUAUCCAUUCACAGAAGAUAUAUUUGCAGAUUUCAGUGGAACUUAUAUGAAGUUUCAAUUGAUGUCGAAAAUUUCAUCGGACGUUGGUCUCAUGUUUGAUAUGAUCAAUAAAACUGUCGAUAAAACUAUGAAAACAAGAUAACAUAUUGGUAUUGACGAAUAGUCUAGUGUUUUGACAAAAUUUUAUAAGAAGGCAAGUGAAGCAAAGAUGUAUACAGAUGGAGGCCAAUAGUUAAAGAGCAUCAAACAUAUUUAAUUUCGUGAGCCUAUAUGUAUAUACAUGUAUGUUUCUGAGAUUGAGAUUGAGAGAUGGACCAACCCCAUUUAUUAAUUUAUUGAUACUUGUUACUGUUAGCGUGGCCCAUUAUGCUCCGAUCGCCCUGCUCCUGCCACAUAAUCUAGGAGUCCUUCACCAGCCCGUUCACCAUGAGCUUCGUUUGCCAGCUGAGAAAGGCCACCAAAGGCGAUUAUUAACAGCAAGAACACUGUGGUUGAUGCGAGAAGAGGCCAAAAAUAUGCCAGAAUGGUGAGCAUACGGGGGGUACCAUAUGACAAUAACCCAAGAAUUAAUGAAACAACCAUAGCUACACUAAAUUGGUAUUUGUAUUGCACAAGCUUUGGCGUAAUAUCCAUGGUUUAGAAGAGUAUUACAACAGCUCAAUACCGAAAUGUGAUUAUCAUCAGCCCUCUCUCUCUCUCUCUCUCCCUCUCUUUAAAUAGUACCACCUUUUAUAUAUAUAUAUAUAUAUAAAUGUAUAUAUUGUUCAAAGCUUGCUUUGUCGUUCUCUCUAAAAGUUUCCUAAGUGGAUUCCUCCUGUUUCCUAAACAAUCCACCCUCUAGUUUUGUCCAUGUUUCUCUAAUUACUGAAAUACCCUUCUUCUUCUGGCAAGCCAAGGUUAAGUUGCUAGAUAUCAACUACCACGCAGAGUUGAAGUCGUUGCGAUAAAUGAUACAAUUUGUGUUUUGGAACUGCAUUUUCUUUGUUUCAAAACAAAAUUUGGGCAGGCGGCGGUGAGCAUUUUUGGUGCAAUGGCAGAAUAGUCAUUGCAAGUAAGACCGAUGGAAUGUUUUGGUAUAUAUUCUUGAAUUGGUCGGCUACUUUUCCAUUUUUCAUGCGACGAAGAGUAAGGAAAGGCAUAACGUCUUUUGUCUUCAUUCUUCAAUGUGUGUGCUUUAUGAGUUUCGUCAACAGAUUGGCUAAUCGGUGAAGAAAAUGUGAGUCAUCUUAUUCUUUUAUGUGUUAAAGCUAUGGAAAGUAUAACUUUGCGGGAAGAUUUCUGAUACCCAUUAAUUUAUUUCUUAUUCUUCCACUUGUGGAUUUUUUGACUUUACUAAGUUCUUGAAACUUAAAAGAAAAAAAAGAGAGAGCCCAUAGCUUCACUCUUCUUCGAAAUUAUCUUUCAACACUGAAAUAUAAAUAUUACAAAUCAGAAAUUUAUUCUAAUGAAAAAUUACAUCAAGUAUGUUAUGAUAUAAUCUAAGAUUCUACACCCAUGAAUCUGAAAGAAAAAUCUACUCCAUCCAUGUCAUUGGGAACCUCGCUACCAUUACUCAACUUUCUAAUGCUAGAGUGAAGUGUGGUCAGGAAUUUUAUGAAGUGCUUUUAGUUUUAGUUAUGCUCUCUCUUUUAAUAAAAUAAAAAAUUGGACCAACUGUUCUUUGUUGGUCUGUGUGAUCCACUGGAGCCCAACAGUUUAGAGAACUACUAGGGUCAGCAAUAAAUGGGCCCUUCAGCAUGGCAGCAACCCAUAACUGAGCGUUUAUUUGAAACCAACAUAACACGGAACACCAUUUUGGGGACGAUUUUGAGGGCACGACAGAAAAUGUCCGGGCGUGGCUGAAAUAACCUAAUGCAUUAAGGUCCUAUUUACGAUUGAGGUGAUAUAACUUUUAAGGUAUAGUUAUUGUGAAAAAAUAGUUGUAAUUAUGAAAUAAAAAUUAAUAAUAUGUAGUAAAUAUAAAUUUUAAAUAAUAAUUUUAACAAAAUUAUUAAAAAUAUAAUAAAAUUUUCAUCAUACAAAUAAAAAAUUAUAUCAACAUAACAUCUAACUUAUAUCAGCUAGUGUUUAUCAAAUACUUUACUAUUGUAUUUUUUAAACUACAGCUGUCCAAUUUUAAUUUUAAAUGCAACUUAAGUAUGAAACUUCGAGUACUUUAUUUUCAAAUACUUACCUAUCCAAAUCCAACCCCGAACACACAAUGAAGACAAUUCUUUCAAAUAUUAGCUUGAACUCACAUCACAUCACUUCAUCAAAACAAAGUGGAUUGUGAAGAAUUCAAUUAAGUAAUGAUUAACAUAAUAAAAAACCCCUACAAUCUAGCUUAAUUAAAUCAAAAACUCCUCUGACUCUUUUGGUGCUAUCUGGGUCUGGUCAUAGCCCUUAUGAGUUCUUUACUCUGAGGCUCAAUUAGGUAGUGGUGGCGUUGUUGUUGUUGUAGGUAGCGAAAGUAGACACUUCCAUUUGUCCUCUAAAAAUAAUUAUAUUCAAGAAUUUGCCAAAUGGCUAAAAGUGCUUGCACAAGCACUUAGUAGCUGGAUAGCUUCAUGUGAUUUUCUUUCAUUCGUUCAUCAUAUAUACUUUAAAGCAAAGAUGUGAAGCAUUCUCAGCAGAUUUUUUUUCCUUUUUUCACUUUUAUUUUAAAGUUUGUUCUUGAAAGCCACUUUAGUUUGUCUCUUUCAUUUAAGAGUCGUCAAUACCUCAUUUUGAUUUGCUUAGGUUCAAAAACAUGCUCGAGUGACGCCCACUAAGUUAAUUUAAAGGCAUGGUUUAUGCAGGAUUUAGCGCUUAAGAAAAACUUGAUUAGUUAGUCUGAAAUAAAAAUUUCUAGAGGGUUUCCUUUUUAUCUUGAAUAAAAGCAGAUAUACAUAUCUUUCAUUGACGCUAUCUUUGAUAAAGAAUCUUUGAAGGCAUUCAUUACACUAGACUUGUUUUCUUUUUUAUUUUUAUGGCCGAAGUUGUAUAAAUAAAUAAACCAUAUGAGAAUCAAAUGACACCUACCACUUUUCUGUCUAUCGCAGUCACCAAACAAAAGAGAAAGGGCCUCAAUUGAUCAAAUGGGAAUGUAGAAUUAUGUGCAAAAUUCCGCUUCUCCGGCUUCGGUUGGCCAGGUUUGAGGCCAACAAAUGGCAUAUAUAUCCAACCAAUACACUUUCGGGUACGUUUGUUGAAUAAUCCAAAUGCAUUUGCACAACUGGAUUAGGUGAACGAAUAGGUAGUGAUGGUGCUACAAAAAUUGACACUUAAUAUUUGCAAUCAGAACCGUUGAGCAGGAUAAUUUAUUUGUUUAAAAAAAUUACAAUAGAUAGUGCUUUAGGCUUAUCAUUGCAGUUAAGAAACUAAAACGUUUUAAAAUCAAUAUCAAGAUCACAAAAGAAAGUAACCGUUAUUGUCAAAAUGAAAGAGCCGGCUUGGCCGGUUCUCAUGAAAUGUAACUAUCGAUAUUGCUUAAGAGUAAGGGAAGAGCCUCCCUCUCUUUGCGGUCAAUUCCUUAAAGGAAUGGACUCUCUCUAUGUUUCACAGAAAACCCUCUUAUAAACCCCAGCGUCUUCUUCUUCUACAUGCCAUAUUUUCGUGCAUUGUACUAAGAUAGCCAAAAGAUGGUUGGUUUUGAUGAACUCAAACUUGGCGGAGUUGAAGAGCUCUCUCUUGCUCAUCCUGAUCCUGUUGUUUUAGAACUCAAUCGUUUACAAAAUCAGCUUAAAGGUUUUUCUCUUCUUCAUAGUUCAUGCUUUUAUGACUAUUUUGUUUUUGAGCUGUCCAAAUUCCAGGUGUGUGCUUACUCGGCUUAUGACAAUAAUUUUUAUUUUACAUUAUUCCAGAGAAGGAUAGGGAGCUUGCGGAUGCUCAGGGUGAAAUCAAGGCACUAAGAGCAACUGAAGUUCUGAAAGAUAAGGCUAUAGAAGAGGUACUCAGAAUUUCUAUGCAAGCAAAUUUAGUGGUUCAAUUUGAUAUCCAUAUAUGCGCAUUCAAUACUCGCAUAGAUACAUUAUUAUUGUCACACGAAAAUAAAUAAAUAUACAUACACAUAUAUACAGGCUACUAAUUAACUUUAGCCAAAAUGUUUGUGUUUAUGGUAAAUUUAGUAUUGAUUCUUUAUUUUCUGCAUUUACAGCUCAGAAAUGAGGUUGGUAAGAUAGACGGGAAACUCAGAGUCACCCAAAACGUCCUGGAACAUAGGGUAGGUCAAGGUCUAAGUGAUACCUUUUGGAAUUUUACAUUAUUUUCGAGGCUUAACUUGUGCUUAUUAUUAUAAGGAUAUAUUUUUCUAACAUGAUACAAUGCAGAAUCUUGAAAUAAAGAAAGUAACAGGCGAGAAGAAAGAUGCAUUAGCUGCACAAUAUGCUGCGGAAGCAACUCUUAGAAGGGUGCAUGCAAAUCUUAAAGAUGAUGAUUCAGUUCCUAUUGAGUCUGUCCUUGCUCCUCUGGAGGCGGAUAUCAAAACGUAUAAAAAAGAGAUUGCUGCUCUUCAAGAGGACAAGAAGGCUUUGCAACGUCACACUAAGGCAAAAGAGAUGGCUCUACUAGAGGCAGAGAAGAUCCUGCGAAGUGCUCUGGAAAGAGCUUUGAUAGUUGAGGAGGUUCAAAACCUAAACUUUGAGUUGAAGAGAAAGAUUGAGAUAUGCCAGGCAUGAUUUCCGGACUGAACCCAUCACAUUUGAUGAUGUACUAAGACUUUUGAAUUAUUAGCCAAAUUGACAUUACGAUUAUGCAGGAAGAGAACAGAAUCCUUGAGAAAACCAAUCGCCAAAAGGUAUUGGAGGUUGAAAAGCUUAGCGGAACCAUUAAAGAACUUGAGGAAGCUGUUCUCGCAGGUGGGUCUGCAGCUAAUGCUAUUCGUGACUAUCAGCGACAAAUUACUGAGCUAAAUGUAGGUGUCAUACCUAUGUGUUGUGAUUUUCAGUUCUGUCGAUAAGGUCCAUUCAAUGAUCCUGUAACCUUAACAUUUUCAGGAGGAGAAAAGGACCCUGGAGAGGGAGCUUGCCAGAGUUAAAGUUUCAGCAAACCGAGUAGCAACCGUGGUGGCUAAUGAAUGGAAGGAUGAAAAUGACAAAGUAAUGCCCGUCAGGCAAUGGCUGGAAGAGAGAAGAUUGCUGCAGGUAUUUCCCUUAUCGGAAAAGGUUCUUGGAUCCAGGUUUCUAAUUCAUUUAUUUAUUUUUUUCCAUUUAGAUAUUCUAAAAGUUUCUUGGGCUUCUAUGACUAACCACAUCCCUAUAUGUCUAGGCUGAGAUGCAGAGACUAAAAGACAAGCUAGCUAUAUCAGAGAGAACAGCCAAGGCGGAAGCACAACUGAAGGUUAAAUUCGAUUCCUUUAUGUUAUUUCUACAAUUAGUUUGUCCUAAUAUUUUCACCGUCAGUUGAAUUUUCUGUGUCGAUGUGAAUUAAUUUUAGGAAAAAUUGAAGCUAAGGCUAAAGACUCUGGAAGAAGGCUUAAAGCACGUGUCAAGUUUCUCGGGCAGUCCUAAUACAUUUUGCGGGUCACCUAAAACAGAAAAAUCCAGUAACAUUAUUUUGGGGUUCUUAACAGCCAACGGUGGACUAAGGAAGAGAUCAACAUCACAGCCAAGGGCUUCUACUAUCAGUAGAAACUCUCUACUGCAGCAGCCAAACUCAGAAAAUGCAACAGUCAAUGGUAAUUCUACUGGAGGACUAAAGCGAGCUGAUAGCUUCAGAAAGAAAUGUGCUGCCGGAGAAAACGUGCUGAGGAAAAGCAUAUGGCCAUCGAAAAAUAAGGUUGUUGAUAGCAGUUGUGGGAAGGAAAAUAAUCAGGUGAAGGAGAACAAAGACAACAAUAUUGAUGAGUUUAAAAUUGGUGACACAAACGUCUCAGUAGAAGUCAAAAAUAAAGUUGGUGGCUAUGAACAUGAAAUUUCUCAGAACAAGGGAAAUCCCAUCCCUGGUAAAGAAGAUGUGGUUUCUGGGUUUCUGUAUGACAGACUACAAAAGGAAGUCGUACUUUUGAGGAAGUUCUGUGAGUCUAAAGACAGUUGCUUGAAUGCGAAAGAUGAAGAAAUCAAGGUUGAAGUGCUGUUUCAAUUAUCUCUUCUUACUCACCAUGUGGUUAAAGCAUGAGGUAUUAAUUGUCUAACCUUCCUUUCAUUUCAGAUGCUCAUGAGGAAGGUUGAUGCAUUGACAAAAGCCAUUGAAGCUGAGUCCAAGAAAAUUAAGAGAGAAGCAGCGGCUAGAGAAAAGGAAGCUAUAUCUGCGAAACUGGAUGACACCAGAAAAAUCAGAAGCACAAGCUCUUCAAGAAGGUUGGUGAAACAUCCAUUAAUUUUUAUUUUUUUUUAAAUUUCUUUUGUUCUCUGUUGCUUUCCCUAACAUUCUGGAUGGUCUAAAUUGCAGCAGGGUAAACAAAGCACCUUGAAGCUUCCUUUGGAAAGUUGCAUGCCUCAGGAAUUCGUUUAAUUCAUUUCUGCUGAUUUUUCAUUGUAAAUAAGGAUUAUUUUGCAAAUAGUUGAAUAAGUUAUGACUAAAAGAAGAUUGUGAGAGAGCGAGAAGCUGACAAUGUGAUUUCAUUGGAGUGUGUUGAAUUGUGUUUUCAAAUGCUUGUGUAUGCACUAUGAUUUCUGUCGACUGUUUGUUUAGAUGCUCAAGUUACACUCACCAGUUCUCCAAUCAAUAUCUAAAACUACCAGAUGAGUGAAAUAUGAAUUGUUUUUCAUACACAGACCAAAUGAUUUGAGUUCAGAAACAUUUUUUUCUGAAAAGAAAUUUUGCAUCGUGGCUGAUCAAACUAGGCCCCGGAGUAAUUGCGUAUACGUUAUGCUGAAUCCACUGAUUUCAUGGCAUUUACUUCUUAAGAUUUAAACAAUACGAGCAUUAGUUUUCCUAAAUAUAAAGAGAAACACUAGAGACACUCUCGGGAUUAUUAUAACCAAAAAAUAAUCCUCAAUUACAGCUAAAAACUUGCUAUAAUGGAGGAAAUAGAUCGAAGCAAUGACACCCGAUUUAAAGAAAAAGAAAAAGAAAAAAAAAACACCCUCCUGCUCUUGAGCAGCUACUUUCUACAAUCUAGUGAACUAUACAGUAAAUUCAUCAACGGCAUUGUGAUGAGGAAAAGCUGAUCAAAGAUUUGGCACCUCCGGAAUGGAAGCUAAAGAUGGAUGCCAUUUCCCAUACUGUUUCAUUAAAUUCUCAGAGAAUCGAACAGAAACUUUUCCAGAUUGGAACUUGUUUGCACUUGUCAGCAGUAACUCCAAUUGCUGCCUUGUGAUCACAAUCUUCACUCUCUCCUUUUUAGCCUCCCUUGCCUCAAGCUCGGUACCUUGAGGCAGUGAAGAGUACGCCUUGUCACGAUGCUUUUGUAAAUCUUUUUCUUUGCCAUUCAAAGGAAUAAUCCUGAUUUUCUUGUGCGAAAUGCAGGACAGAACAGGCACCAACUUUCCCAUUGUGCACUCAUCAUUUGAGUUUGUACUCUUAGCAAUUUAUAUUGAUGCUUUUAAUUUGUUUUCACGUUGACGGCAACCUAACGUGCAAAGUGCAAACCAUGAUGCUUCAUUAUAAACUAGUGACGAAUUUUAUUCUAAAGAAAUGGCAAGUACACACUUCGGUUUGCUAAUUAACAUUAUUUAGUGGGCUCUGAAUAAGCAAGUCAAUAAGGGGCGUUUUCACAAGUUUGCAUUAACUAAGAAGAAUAGAAGAUGUGGAACAUAUCAUAACAUUGUUUAUUUCCACAAGGUCAAAUAUCCGUGCAUUGUUCAUUGUACCGUGCCCUUUCAGAAGUAUUUAAUAAUUUGGAAGUCAAAUUUCUGUCUGGUUUUUAUAGGCUACCGAAGAAUCAAAAGUUUUUGCAUUUUGUUUUCUUCAAUUAUUUCAUGUUUUUAAUUUUCUUUUUUAUUUUAAUAAAUAAAUGCUAAUAAUUUGAGAGCUUGGGUGGUGAUGUGUUUGGCUCAAUGGCCGUUUGUAGUGCAAAUCAAUAAUGUUUUCACAGUCAGCACCAGCAAGCUUCCUACCGUUAGCAGUUAGCACUGACUGAUUAUUUUCAAUACAACUUCCCAAAUCCAGUAGCAAGUACGAAAUUUACAUUUCCAUAAUUUCAUUAGCUCUAUAUAUAAAAAUUCAAAGUAUAAACAAAAAGUUAUGGUCUGAUAGAACAAAAAUUCUUCCUCCGUCAAGAGACAUAUAGCCCAGAACAUAAAAAAAGGGGAGUUUGAGAUGGCGAGCACAUCAUUGCUAAGCAUACAACCUGAUUCGGGAAUGCCAGACACUUACGAGGCAGUCACCUUGGCAGGAACUGAGACCAGUGAGCUUCUAGACUCCAACCAUGACUUGGCUGCAGCCUCUGUAGUCAAAAACCAGCCAACCUUGUCUGGGGAAUCAUGAAAAGGGGCAUUUAAUUCCUUCAAAUGUGACUCGAAAACACUAGCUAAUCCUUUGUCUGAGUACUUGUGUUUCCCGUGCCCAGUAUUGAUACCAAGUAAUGGCGGAAACUCUUCUCCAGAUUCCAGCGCUUUCGAAAGGUCAUUUAUCCAAAUGUGUAAUGCAGUCAGUGCUGCUCCAAGCGAGAGACUCUUCAGAUGUAAAGACCACUGAGUUGGAGACCUGGAUUGUAUUUCUGUGUAAACCUCCAGCGUAAGCCCCAGUUCUAAAAGCUUACAUGCUUUUUCCAACAUAUUAAGAUUGACACAGAGAUCAAUUAAGCAAUUGCAGUAAGCCUUUUUGACGUCAUUGCUAAUUGAAUUAAAGAGUUCAGUUGCUUCCUUUUUGAAAUCCCCUUCAAUGUCUUGCUCCUCCAAUAGAAGCUUCACCACAUACCCCAGCUUUGAAUUGGACUUUUCAACACAUUCAACAAGCUUACCAAGCUCCUCCUUCGGGGUUUGAGUCAUCACAUUCAGAAGACAGCCACAGAACCGAUCGUCAGGAGUUAUGCCCAACUCUGGCAGUCUGUUGAGUGCCCUCACAACAUCAUCAGUGCGCUGGGCCUUUCCAUAGCAUUGGAUAAGUGAUGUCAGAACAAAGAGAUUAGGCUCAAAGCCUGCUUCCAACAUCUCAUUGAAUAUGGCCUCUGCCUCAGAGACCUUCCCGCUGCAUGAACAUAUGGUAAUCAUGGAAGAAAAUGUCCAACUGUCAGGCUGGCAAUUUUCAGAACUCUUCAUGUCUUCAAAUAUCUCAAAAGCUUCAUCAGUGUACCCUACGUCAGCACACAUGGCCAAGAGUGUAUUAUAAAGAGUCACACUCAACUGCAUUCCCUUCUCCUUCAUCUCCCUGUAAACAGAAAGAGCGUCCUCCCCAUAUCUGGCCCUCCCAUAAGCCCGCAACAGAGAUGCAUAGGUGUUCCAAUUUGGGGAAAGUCCAUUGUCGGUCAUCUCUUUGUAAAUAGUCUUCACCUGCCAAGGCCUCUUCGCUCUUCCCAUUGUGUCCAACAAAUUGUUAUAUGUAAUCAUAUUCGGCUUAACACCAAUCGCUUUCAUUUCUUCAUAAACAUUCAAGCACCCAUCAAAAUUACCCGCCGUCCCAUAUAGCUUAAUCAAAGUAGAAAAAGCAUUAGGAUCAAUACGCCAUUUCUCAUUCCUUGCCCUAUCAUACAAACCAAAAGCCAUUUCCACAUUACCAGCCCUACCAUAUGCAUCAAUCAUAGACGUAUAAGUAAGUGCAUCAGGAUCACAUCCAAAACUAGGCAUCCUCUCAAACCACUCAACAGCCUUGUUAGGCAAAUUAUUCAUCCUAGCACAACUAAUCAAAGUCGAAAAGGUAACAUUAUCUGGCUUAACACCUCGGUCGAGCAUGUCAUCAAACAACCUCUCGGCUUUAUCCAAAUCUCUACACUUUCUAAACACUUUCAUAGUCACGUUGUAAAGAAUCACUUCUUUACUGGCUUUCAAUUUAUUUGUAAAAUAUGUCAAAGCAAGCGCUGCAGUAUCUGGGUUGGUCAUGUUAUUAAGAAUAAUGACACAAUCUUGCUCUAAGAAAUCAUCACCCAAGCAACGCAAAACACUAAAAACAUCAUCUUCAGUCGCACUACAAGAAUCCAAAUCUGCGGCAAGUUUAACAAGAGAAUUGUACCUCGUAUCAUAAGAUUUUUCCUUCAACUUGGAAGCUCUUGGACUUUUGGGAUUGACCCAGAUGUAGCUUUUAGGAGAAGAACCAGUUUUUCCGCGCGGGUAUUGAGGAUUUUGCGAAUGCUUUGUAGGGUUUGAGCUCUGGGUUUCUUGCAACGAAACGCUGCGUUUUUGGAGAGAGGUUUUGGAGUAAAAUGAGAGGGAUUCGUCGCGUGGAAAAGAGAAAGUGAAGGUUCUUCUUCCGAGCUUUGGUGUUGAGAAGAGAGAACACGUUGAGUAGCAGAGAUUGGAAGCCAUUGUUCAACACUCACCUCAGGCUGAGUUAUGUUAUAUUACACGCACGCACCCACGCGAUAAACUGCAGCAGAAGAGUCUCUGCGCUCUCUCUCUAUCUCUCUCGCGGCAUAAACAACGGGACCACCCUUAUCAACAAUGGGAGAGAAAUUGAAGAGUACAGAAAAAAAAGGGGGGAAAUGGUUAUUUGACCAAACUAUGUAGGUUGGGCUUAAAUCAUGAGCCCAAAUAGCAAAAUUGGGCUAAGUAGCUUGCGGCUCAAUAGAUUGAGCAAAAGGACUCCAAUCCUCAGUCGAGGUAUUGCGUAUCUAAAAUUUAGAUUCUGAAUUAUGUCUCAAGUCUCAAUUGAGGCCCUAUUUGAUAAAAAUUAUAGUAGUUGUAAAAAAAUAAUAUAAUUUUAAAAUAAAAAUAGAUCAUGUAUAAUAAAUAUAACUUUUAAAUAAUAUAAUUUUUAAAAUAACAAAUAUAUUAUAAGUUUUUCAUAAAUCAAUUUAUCUUUCAAGUUACACUAAUUAAUAUUUACCUAAUAUUUUAGUGCUGUAACUUAAAAUCUAUAAUUGUCCAACCUCAAUAUCAAACAUGUUCUUAGUUAAAAUUUCAAUGGCUUAGUGAAUUUCUUCAUUAAAAAAAAAAAAGUUACCAAUGUGUUGGUGAAUAGUGAUGAUGCAUGUGGUCAUGAGAGAGUAUGAGCCAGGUAAUAGCCUAGGCAUUAUUAACCAAUAAUAACCAACCAGAAGCAGUUGCGUGCAUCAACUCUACUGAUAAUAGGAAGUGACUAGCAUUAUUAGAGCACCAUUACAAGAUUUUUUAAAUGAAAUUUUACUUAUAAUUUGAAAAACCAUAUAAGUAAAAAUUAUUUCAAAAGACUUUUCAAAUAAAAUUGUUGUUAUCUUUCUAUAAUAUAAAAAGAGGGUUAUUUAGGGAAUCUCAUUUAGAGAAUCUCUUGGAACCUUCAAUUUAAUAUUAUAUUAGUUUUAUUUUCUCAUUCUCGAAGGGAGUGAUGUUUAUAAUUGUUAUUAUUUUAGUGAAGAAAAAAAUUUGAUUAAAAUAAUAUGAACUUAAUUUUAUUUAAAGAGUUUUUUUGGAAGAUGAUUAACUUUUUAGGUCAUAUUUGGGAUUGAGGUAUUAUAUAUUUUAAACUAUAGUUGUUGUAGAAAAAAAAUUGUAACAUGAAACAAAAGUUAAUUAUAUGUAGUAAAUAAUAAUUUUGAUAAAAUAAUUAAAAAUAUAAUAAAUUUUCUAUCAUAUGAAUGAAAAAUCAUAUCAAUAUAACUUCCAAGUUACAGUAAUUAAUGUUUAUCAAGUAUUUUAAUACUGUAACUUUUAAGUUACAAUUGCCCAAUCUUAAUUUCAAAUGCACCCUUACUCUUUUAUUUAUGUGAUAAAUAAAUAAAUAAAUAUUUGAAUAAUUAAAUUAAAAGAGUCUAUAUCGAUUCCUUUUAAUUUCGCCUUGAUGUCCAUUAAUUUAUAGAUCUACCUCUAAUUCGACUUGUUCCACAAUGGACCGUGUAUGCCAUUAAAUUUUAUUUUCAUCAUUAAAAGUGAGGACCGCAAUGAUGUGGAAAUCUUACCCACCAACCAUAUAUGCAUGCUGUUGUAUCAACCAAUUACCCUUAGCCCCCGUGACUUUCAGUUUUUUGUACAUUCACUAAAGUUUGAUUUUUAAUUCUCAUAUCUCCGUCGUCUCUCUCUCUCUCUCUCUCUCUCUCUCUCUCUCUCUCUCUCUCUUUCUUCCCAUUGUUUGGUAUCCAAAGAAGGGAAGGAAAAUUAAAGAUUUGUGUAAAAACCCCUUACGAGUUAUAAUUGAACAUUUUCUUAUAUUUAAUAUAGGGGGGGGGGGGGGGGGGGGGCGUGGGGGAACUACAAAUUAGAUGACCAUUACUCGAUCACAAUCAAGACCACGCAAGAAAAUAUUAGAUUAUGAAUAAUAAUAACAAAAAUACAUGACAAGGACGAAUAUAAUAAAAUCCGGUAGUAAUUAAUAUGAUUCAUAUGAUUGCGCAAGCUGAAGGAUUUUCUUCAGAGAGGCAAUCAGAACGGUAUCCGUAAUACUUGCUGCUGCCCCCCCAACUAUCAUAAACUGGCCUUCCAUAAUAACCAUCGUACCAUAUUUUCGGUGGCGGCCCGUAACGGUGACAUGGCCCCCCACCGUGCCCCCCAUAACACUCGGGGCAGCACACCCCAAAUGGGUAAUAAGGGGGUGGGUAACCCGGUGCUGGUGGGUCAACCUUAGGCUGUGGGUCAACCUUAGGCUUGUCUGUCUCAGGCUUAGGUGUAUCUUUAGGUUCUUUCUUUUUCUCUGGCUGAUCUUUUUCUUUUCCUUUCUCAGGCACAGGCUCCUUAUUUUUAGGUUUCGACUCUUCUGCUUUUUCUUUUUUCUUCUCAGUCUGAGGUGUUUCUUUCUUCUUUUCGGGCUCUUUCUUAUCAGCAGGCUCCUCCUUCUUCUUCUUCUGAUCAUCAGGUGAUUUGAUUUCAAUGCUCUUGAUUACGCCAUCACCCUUGCAGCAUAUCUUGUCCCUCAUCUUUUCGGGACAGCAGCAAACGACUUUGAUUGUCACUUUGUUUUGCUUCUCAUCGUAUAUCUGGUCUUGUAUUUCUCUUGUUCACAAAAUUCAACACAACAUACAUACAUACAUACGACCCUUAGCCCACUGAUCAUCAAUAACAUUAAGUUUUCAUUUUCACAAAAUAUAUAUGUGUAGGCAUAGCAGAGAAAUUCAAUUAAAUUACUUACGUGGGAAUUUGGAAAGUACUUUCUUGACUUUCUUAUAGCACUUUGAGCACUGAAGGUCAACCUUCAGCACCAUUGUUGUAACCUGCAGCUGCCACAAAGUAAACAUUAUGUGUGAUACACACACACACACACACACACACACAAUCAUUAACAUUUUGUAUUUAUGUGAUUCAUCACAGGAAACUAGAGUGAUCAUCGUAGCUAGAGAAAUGAAAUUGAACAAAAUGGGGAUUGGGGAAUGAAGAGAGAGCAGAUCUAGCAAAGUAAAAGAUGAGUAAAAAGAUUUGCAAACCUUGUCAGGCAUGGUCUUGUGAUCAGAUCUGAAUACUCGGCUACUGAUGAUUAAUCGGUUGACGUUAUAUUACUGAAUGAAAUGGCCACAGGUAUAUUCUAAGUGGGAGCCUUCAACAGUCUUUGUAAAUUAAGGCGAAAACUAUAUACAUCUUAAGAAGACGUCACGCUCACAUUCGCAUACACGUACAGUAUUAGUUGUCAAAGCAAACAAAUUUGGGGUCGUCAGACACGUAGGUAGAAUAUUAGGUAAACAUAUGUUCAUAUUUCUCUGGAUACAAGUUCAUUUUGUCCACUGGAACAUGCAUCAUAUCGCAGAUUUCUUCUGAUUACAGCUGUUAAAAUUUAGAACACUACUACUCCUUUAAUAUAUUAUCGUUUAAUGUCAGUUUUCUUUUCUUUUCUUUUCUUUCUUUCUUUUUUCCCCCCUUUUUGUACAUUAAAUUUAAUUUUUAAUCAAUCUCUCAUUAGUGAGUCAAUCACAGUUCAGUCGUCGUCCUCCUCCGAAUAUUCUAAUUAACUAUAUAAUUUCCAACCUUUAAUAAUGCCGCACUUAUAAAUUCUUCAGAAAGAGUUCAUUUUACUCACAUCCUUUCAGAUUUUAACAAGCUUUUACGAUUUUUUUUUCCUAUCUUUAAAUUUAGUUUUUUGAAAAAAAAAAAGAAAGAAGUCGACAUCAUUAUUGUUAUAACCUAAAUAUUUAAUAAAUAACGCCACAAAUUAAUAAAAAGUCAAGGAUCGAUUAAAACCUUCUCGAAGAGCUCCAGAUAAAUAAUUCCACAGAUAGAGACUUCUUUAAAUUUGUUGAACAAGUCAUAAUGAUAAGCAAGUUAUCACAUUUGUAGAGUUGAUUAUUUAAUUUUGUCUACUUAACCAUCUGUCUUGAUCUCCAUCUAUCUUCUUUUUUUUUUUUUUUCUUUUCCCUGAUUGGCUGUAUAUGUUAAAUAUUCCAAUAAUCCAAAUUAUAAUUUAUCUUCACCAUUAGUAUCCUGCCUUCUUGUGAUCGAGCAUCAGAUGUGUGGAAAUCUUACCCAAUCAUUAGUAUAAGAUAGUUUUCUUAUACACUACUUUUAAUUAGUUUUAUGUGGAGGAUGUGCACGAUGAUCAAAGAAUAACACAAUGCGUGCAUUAAGUACGUAUUUUCGCCCCCAUGUAGACUGGAUGAAUGUCAAUGCGGAUGGUCUUUUUUAAGGAAAAUUAAUCCUGGUCCUCUUUUCAAAAAAAAAAUAAAAAUUAAUCCUGGUCCCUCGGCGUUCAGGACUAUUUUUCGCUGCUAUGAAGGCUCCUAACUUGGAAAUUUUGACCAUUUUUAGGGGCAGGGCAACAAAUAGCCUUCUACGCAUAACUUUUGUCAGUUGAUCACGCUGUCAGAAGGUUUUGAAGAGUUUGUGGUUGGAAUUAAUACGAACUCAAUGUAGGUUAUUUUACUUUUUUUGAACCCUUCUUUAGAAUAGGUAUGGUAAAAUCCGAGUUCAGGUUCGGGUCUAGAUUCGACUUUUCCGAUUCUAGACCCAAAUGGAAAUUCUAUACCGGAUCCGAAUGUAAACUUUGAUCAGCCGCCCAUGGCUGCACGGGCAGCCAGUUGUGUUCUACCACCGCUGGAGUCUCCUCUCCUCGCUGGCGUCUUACUCCAGUCACGGCAGCCCCUGAAUCAGCCACAUUCACCUCCAUAAAUUGGUAGGUUAAGCAACAUGAAGAUUUGUUUUAUUUAGUGGAGGAACAACAAGGUAAGCCAUUGAUAGGUUAAGCAAUAUGGAGAGUUGGAUAACUCAAGUGAGUUAAGUGGAGCUCAAAAGAGAUCACAAGGAAAACUAAAGGUACUUCAUGUGGCUUACAUUUGAAAUAUGAUUUGAACUUCAAAUUGUAGAUAUAGUAAAACAAACACAAAUUUAAAGAGCACACUUAUACUAUAUGGUUCAUCUUUUGACUCACAUUCACGUGAGAUUAGCAGAUAUACAUAACAUGAGUUGGAUGUUUGUAUGGAGAUGUGGGCGUUGUUAAAGAUAGAGAUAGUGAAUAAAGAUGUAGAGCUAGAGCGAUAACAAUACUGUGGAAGAGAUGAUAAAAAUGAAGAAUAGAAAAUGGUAGAAAUAGCCUCCAAAAAACAAAAAAGUGGAUGAUGAUCCAAGAAGGAGGUAAACGAGCCCCAAACAUAAAGGUCACUCUCCAUUUUGAAAAAUAUGGCAUUUAUAUGGCAGAGGCUAGUGGUAAAGAGAGUGGAUAAAUUUUUAGAGUUAAAUGUCAUGCUUAGAUUUAAAAAAAAAGGAGAAUAUCUUUAAGUUAUAUGUCGCAUUUAAGAAAAGGUAGAAAAUUAUUCUUUUUGUACUAUUCUUUCCAAAAAUAUGUUUUAAAAGUCCUAUCUCAAUGAUAAAUUUUAGAGUGAUGAUACAAUCAUAAAUUCUUGUACAAACUUAUCUCUUUACAAACUGAUUUGACAUUAAUUCAUUGGUUGAAUAAAAAUAUAAAAUAAUAAAAAUAAAUUAUGUGGGCCAAGAGAUAUUUAAUUCAAUUAAUUUUAUCAUACCAUAUCAGUUUGUACAAAAUAAAUUUGCACAAAAAUUUAUGGUUAUAUUAUUACUCUAAAUUUUAAAGCUCAUCUAAUGGAAUAAAUUCUUUCUUGUGACAUCCUUAUAUUGCUCUAAAUAUUGUGUCUAAAUAAUAUAAUCAUCUAUAUGUCCUUUAUUUAUAGGUCCAAAAAUCAUCCCAAACACAAAUAAUGAUAUUCAUCACUUAGCAAUUGGAAUGAAAUGUUGAGAUAAUUUAGCUGCAUUUAGUAGGGUCUGGCUAUGGUGCAACUGUGGUACUGUGUCACAGCUGCAUCCAGCUGUUAGAUCUACUUAGAUGGACGGAGUUCAUUAGAAUCCAACAGCUGAAUGCAAAUGUGACCUAGUAAUAUUAUAGUUUUUAAAAUCAUCGUUGUUAACUAUGUUGUAGUAAUAAACAAUUGUGGAGAGAGUCUGUUAAAUAUUUUGUAAAUUUAUUUAAAAAAAUGCCGUGUGUUUUAAAAACAAUCAUAAGUGUUUGGUAAAUUUAUUGUUAAAUUGUUGUAAGAAUACAAAUAACUGAAAUAGAUGUAAUGAUAAAUAAAAUUUACUUACACAUUUAUAAAUAUAUAAAUAAAUUAUUUUUUAUUAUCUAUAUAUUUUAAUUUAUAAUUAAAAUGAAUAUUUUAAUUUUAUUAAUUUUUUUUUAUUUAAAUAUAAUUGGUAAAAAUAAUGAUCUCUUUAAAUGUAGCGAUUUUAUUUCCCAAUUGAUAAGGAUAAUUUUAGAUUUUUAUAAAAUAUGUGAGGACAUAUAUGUAAUUGUAUUAAGUAUAAAACCGAUUCUCAAAAUUAAAUUUUUGAAAAAGUUACACCUUCCCUAUUUUUCAAAAUAUCUUUUAAGAUGGGGUAAUCUUACAAAAAAAUAAAUUAAAAAAAUUACUAAAUAAUAAAAUUAAUUAUUAAUUUUUUAAAAUUAUUUUUGAACCUCUAAAAUGCAAUCUCAAAAGGGGCCCUAAUAUCAAUCAGAGGAGGGGGAUAUUGUCUACUGAUUUUAGUGGCUGUGUGGUGUCUUAAUUUCUCCAUCCAUUUUAAUUAAUUUUCAGAUAAAUAACGACUGUAGCCUCUCUAUCUAUGGCAUAUUUUGAAGCUCGACCAGUACCAAUCAAGCCUAAUCCGUCACCAAACAAAUUGUUGUCCAUUUGAUGCAACAAGCUAGGACCAAACUACAAUACCCCACGUUGCGUUUCUUCUACUUGUGUAAUGUUUCCUUUUCUUGUCAUAGAAGCGUGCUCGAAAUGAUCUCCUUUUGUUUCCUUCAAUUUAAUUACUUGUAUUUUUCUUUUUGAAAAGAAACUCAAACUCUCAAAGAUUGAAAUUACGAUUUUAAAAUGCAUCACUUAACAAUUAACCAUCCCAAAUUCCCAAUUUGUUCCAUUCAAAUCCUUCAUUGAAUUCUAAGUUAGUUAAAAAUAUUUACACAAUCAUAAAAGGACAGUUACAUCCUUAUAUAUCUUUAUUAAUUUUAUUUUUUCAUGUAAAAAAUCUACUGAUUUACUUACGAUAGAUUUAUGACCAUAAAACUUGGAGGUUUCGCAUUGUUUAUCGCAUUUGCUCUUCCGUAAACUCGUUGUCCCCGCUCUCAGUAACAUUCUCAUUAAUCAUUUGCAAUAACCUUGACUAGCUUAAAUCAUUGACUCUUAUCUUAAACGAUAAAUAUAACGGUGAAAUUGAGUCAAGGACUUGAAAGAAGUAAAUUUUGAAGUUCGUUCAUGACUUAAAAGAUGCAUUUUAAAAAUCUGUGGUCUCCAAAAUUUCAUUCGAAAACGAAAGGCACUACUCACCUUUUAUAAAGCAUUAAAUAAAACUAUAUGACUGCGACUCUAGCGGACUACAUAUAUCUUUAACAGGAGGACAUCACUAAAAUAAUAAGAAAGGGCAUACGUAUGUGCACGAUCAGAAAGUGAAGGAAAAGGUUAGGAAUCGGAAAUGCAUAAUUAAUUGAAAAGGCAAUCAAUAUUAAUGGAAACCUCUUAUUAAAUUAAUUGUAGCAUCAACAAAUUGAUCAACGGAUCCGCCGGUCUUGCUUUUAUUUAGCUAUUAUUUUCCUUCCUAUAAAGUCUAUAUCAUUAUUGUUAUUAUUAUCAUCAUCAAAAAAAGUAAAUGAUUAAAUCAACUACAUACAAGAGGCAACUAGAAGAAAAGGACAUGAUCACCGACAAUCACCAUUCACGAUCAUUGAUGGGUGGCGGUAGGCAGUAGCAUGGAUUGGAUUUGUAUAUGUAAUAUGAAUUUACAUGAUGGUGCAAGGCGCUGUUGGAUUUUCUUCACAGAUGUAAUCUGAGCAACGACUUCUGUAAUAACCUCUAGUAUCGCAGCCGCCAGCCCAACUCUCAUACACUGGCCUUCCACAGUACCCAUCAUAAUGCCUCAUUUGCCCAUAGCCAAGAUCGUAACAUGGUCCCCCACCGCGCCCCUCAUAACAUUCCCUGCAGCACACCCCGACCGGCGGGUAACACGGAACUGGAGCCGGUGCUGGUGCAGGUGCCGGUGCCGGCGCCGGUGGUGGUGCUGAUGGUUUUGGUGGCUCUUUAGGCUUUUCUGGCUCUUUGGGUUUCGCAGGCUCUUUAGGUUUCUCGGGCUCUUUGGGUUUCUCCGGCUCUUUGGGUUUCGCGGGCUCUUUGGGCUUCUCCGGUUCUUUGGGUUUUUCAGGUUGUUUUGGCUUCUCGGGUUCUUUGGGUUUCUCAGGUUGUUUUGGCUUCUCGGGUUCUUUAGGUUUUGGUGGUGGUGGUUUAGGCUUUUCAGGUUCCAGGAUUGCAAUACUCUUGAUUGAACCUUCACCUUUGCAGCAUAGUUUGUCCCUGAUCUUUUCAGGACUGCAGCACACUACUUUUAUUCUCACCGUAUUCGUCUUCUCAUCGAAUAUCUGGUCUUGUAUUUCUCUUGUUC
rnacentral:lncRNA from 1 species